rnacentral:rRNA from 1 species
CAGUAGCCGCGGGAAUACGUAGGUGGCAAGCGUUGUCCGGAAUUAUUGGACGUAAAGGGCUCGCAGGCGGUUUCUUAAGUCUGAUGUGAAAGCCCCCGGCUCAACCGGGGAGGGUCAUUGGAAACUGGGAAACUUGAGUGCAGAAGAGGAGAGUGGAAUUCCACGUGUAGCGGUGAAAUGCGUAGAGAUGUGGAGGAACACCAGUGGCGAAGGCGACUCUCUGGUCUGUAACUGACGCUGAGGAGCGAAAGCGUGGGGAGCGAACAGGAUUAGAGACCCCCGUAGUCCCUGUCUCUUAUAC